CGCAAGCCUGACGGAGCAACGCCGCGUGUGGGAAGAAGGCUCUUGGGCUGUCAACCACUUUUCUCAGGGAAGAAGCCCUGACGGUACCUGAGGAAUCAGCCUCGGCUAACUCCGUGCCAGCAGCCGCGGUAAUACGGAGGAGGCAAGCGUUAUCCGGAAUUAUUGGGCGUAAAGCGUCCGCAGGGGGCACAUCAAGUCUGCUGUUAAAGCCUGGAGCUUAACUCCGGUAGAGCAGUGGAAACUGGUGUGCUAGAGGGCGACAGGGGUAGAGGGAAUUCCCAGUGUAGCGGUGAAAUGCGUAGAGAUUGGGAAGAACACCGGUGGCGAAAGCGCUCUACUGGGUCGCACCUGACCCUCAGGGACGAAAGCUAAGGUAGCG
rnacentral:rRNA from 1 species